rnacentral:rRNA from 1 species
GACGAACGCUGGCGGCGUGCCUAAUACAUGCAAGUCGAACGCUUUUUCUUUCACCGGAGCUUGCUCCACCGAAAGAAAAAGAGUGGCGAACGGGUGAUUAACACGUGGGUAACCUGCCCAUCAGAAGGGGAUAACACUUGGAAACAGGUGCUAAUAACGUAUAACACUAUUUUCCGCAUGGAAGAAAGUUGAAAGGCGCUUUUGCGGCACUGAUGGAUGGACCAGCGGUGCAUGAGCUAGUUGGUGAGGUAACGGCUCACCAAGGCAACGAUGCAUAGCCGACCUGAGAGGGUGAUCGGCCACACUGGGACUGAGACACGGCCCAGACGCCUACGGGAGGCAGCAGUAGGGAAUCUUCGGCAAUGGACGAAAGUCUGACCGAGCAACGCCGCGUGAGUGAAGAAGGUUUUCGGAUCGUAAAACUCUGUUGUUAGAGAAGAACAAGGAUGAGAGUAGAACGUUCAUCCCUUGACGGUAUCUAACCAGAAAGCCACGGCUAACUACGUGCCAGCAGCCGCCGCGG